AUACGGAGGAUCCGAGCGUUAUCCGGAUUUAUUGGGUUUAAAGGGUGCGCAGGCGGGAGAUUAAGUCGGCGGUGAAAUUUUGCAGCUCAACUGUAAAAGUGCCUUCGAAACUGGUUUCCUUGAGUGUAGAUGAAGUAGGCGGAAUUUGUGGUGUAGCGGGGAAAUGCAUAGAUAUCACGAGGUACUCCGAUUGCGCAGGCAGCUUACUAAACUACUACUGACGCUCAGGCACGAAGGCGUGGGGAUCAAACAGGAUUAGAUACCCUGGUAGUCCACGCAGUAAACGAUGAUUACUAGCUGUUUGCGAUACAAUGUAAGCGGCUGAGCGAAAGCGUUAAGUAAUCCACCUGGGGAGUACGUUCGCAAGAAUGAAACUCAAAUGAAUUGACGGGG
rnacentral:rRNA from 1 species